UCUAUUCCUAGAGUUAAUAUAUUUUAAUUUGAAUACUUUUCCACACUUAUAAUUCUUAUCGUUUCUCAAAAACGUUCACAUAAUAGGAAAAAAAAGAAAACGAAAAACAAUAAAUCAUACAUGUAUAUGUAUAUAUAAAAAAUAUCUCAAAAUAUCUAGUUUUGUGCAUUAUGCGCAAGACUAUAAAUAAUAAAUUAAAGCGAGGAGAACAAACUCGUAUAAAACUUUUUCUCGCUUUCAUCCAUGUUAUUUUCCGGUUGAAAACCUUAACAUGAAGAGGAGGUACAUUUCAUAAGGUGUGUAAGUGUGAAACAUUGUCGGGCAGUGAAUUAGUAUAACGCGAUAAUUCAUCCGCUUGCUUCUCUAAGAUGCAAUUUUCCACGGUGUGACCGUGCGUGCGCAUACCGUGCUUCAACCAGGCUGUGUCACAAGUGAAGCGUAUGAUUCAGACAACGUGAUCUCUGUGAUUCUCGAUCAUGUUACGCAUGUACUUAUGGAAACCAAUCAUUCUCAUACAAGUGAAAGUAUUUGAAAAAAGAGAUUGGAAUAAGCUUUAGCAAUUAAAACGACGAUUUUUUUUUAUGGGAUAUGAGGUUUGUAAUUGUGGGAUCGAAUUUGAUGGAAAUCUCUCUCUCUCUCUCUCUCUCUCUCUCUCUCUCUCUCUCUCUCUCUCUCUCUCUCUCUCUCUCUCUCUCUCUCUCUCUCUCUCUCUCUCUCUCUCUCUCCCGCCAAGAGAAAAAGUGAUUUCGAGAAUCUAUUAUCCCAGAACGAAUCCAAUAGCGAUUCACAAAGCUCUUUCGCGACGAAGUUUAAACAAUAGAUUUAUAUACUGGGAAACUACACGCUUUAAUCCGCUUAUUGUAAUCCAUUCGUGAGAGCGGGCAAGCACGAUUUUAAACUGAUUUACUGGACGCAUAGGUUAGAAAUCGAUUUCUUUCGCAAUUUAUCGGAAUCGGUGUUUAGUAUGAAUUUUAAUUGCACAUUAAAUUCAUUAUAAGUUUAUUCAUUAUUCUAACAAUUUAAUUGUUUUAAUUGAUAAAUGAUGAUUUUUUUUCUAUCAUUUAUAUAAAAGAAAGAAAGAUUCUGAAUAAAAAUUUAUCAAUAUAGAGUAAAUGUAAAAAUAUUUUAAAAAUAUUUUGUUUUUAUAGCAAGAUUUUUUAUUUAAGAUUUUAAGAAAUUUGUUUUCAUUAUACGAUCGGGAUUAUUAAAAUAAAUUCAAAAAUAUGUAUAAUGAUAAUUUUAUUAAUACAAUAUUUUAACGUACUGUGUAUUUUAAUAAAAAUAUAUUUAUAAAGAUUUUCAUGGAUUAGUGUGGAUUAUGUAUACGAUUAAUUAUAAUGAUCUGAAAUUAUACAUCAGAAAGAAAUUAUACACUUUUUGUGUGAAUAAAUAGCAUUAAAUAUUUGUCGAUCUAA